ACUUUUAAAGGAUGACAGUCAUCCAUUGGCCUUAGGAACCAAAAAUAUU
rnacentral:tRNA from 3 species